AUCGAGCUGAUGAGUCCUAAACAGGACGAAACGCGCGUUCUGGAU
rnacentral:hammerhead_ribozyme from 1 species